rnacentral:rRNA from 1 species
AGUGAACGCUGGCGGUAGGCCUAACACAUGCAAGUCGAACGGCAGCACAGUAAGAGCUUGCUCUUACGGGUGGCGAGUGGCGGACGGGUGAGGAAUACAUCGGAAUCUACUUUUUCGUGGGGGAUAACGUAGGGAAACUUACGCUGAUACCCCAUACGACCUACGGGUGAAAGCAGGGGAUCUUCGGACCUUGCGCGAUUGAAUGAGCCGAUGUCGGAUUAGCUAGUUGGCGGGGUAAAGGCCCACCAAGGCGACGAUCCGUAGCUGGUCUGAGAGGAUGAUCAGCCACACUGGAACUGAGACACGGUCCAGACUCCUACGGGAGGCAGCAGUGGGGAAUAUUGGACAAUGGGCGCAAGCCUGAUCCAGCCAUACCGCGUGGGUGAAGAAGGCCUUCGGGUUGUAAAGCCCUUUUGUUGGGAAAGAAAAGCAGCAGGUUAAUACCCCGCUGUUCUGACGGUACCCAAAGAAUAAGCACCGGCUAACUUCGUG